rnacentral:sRNA from 1 species
CUUUAGCUAGAUGAGAAUGCGUUAGGGAUUGCAGUGACAUCCUUUUUGUAGUGCCAGCAGUACUACAAAAAGAUACAACGGAAAGCCCGCCCGAUU